AGCAACCGGCAGGGUGUGGCAGUCGAUCAUCGAAUGCUGCGCACGCCUUUUCCCGGUUGCA
rfam:Pseudomonas sp. 21C1 contig00036, whole genome shotgun sequence.